rnacentral:lncRNA from 1 species
AAAGACACAAGUGAAAAAAAUUGACUGCACUAGCUCUCGAUAACCUCCAGUCAUUCUUUUCUAGUCAUUCUUGGAUUUCCUUUAGGAACAAGAACUUGUGAAUAAAAGGUCAGAUGCUUUAUCUGUCGAGAUCAAUAACAGACUGUCCACUUAAUGCAGUGAACAGUGAAUCUUGAUGAAGAUUUCCACAGCUGAGAAUGGCAUAAAUGUAUAGCAACUCUUGUGGCUAUGUGAGAACGGGGGAAAAUCUUGAUGAAAGCAUCACUCUUUGUGGUGAAAAAUGAACAAAUUAUAGGAAAGCAGUCCAGAAAAGAAGAUGAGGUUUCUUGGCAAUUAGUCACUGUUUAUCUUGGAGAUGAAGAAAACCAUAGUUAAUUUUGGUUGGUCAAUAGAAGUGUAGAGCAGCCUCAGGUCUACAUAUAAGGAUUGUGUGUCUUAUGAGUCAGCUUGCUUGUUAUGCUGUUGCUGCUAAGAAAAUGUAGGAGUGCUUGGUAACAGGAAUGUGCCACAAUUUUUAUACUUCAUGGCUGCAGAGAAUGGGGUGGUAUUUCAUACUGAGUCUUCUUCCUGGAUCUGCACUGAUGUAAAGUACUGCAAGAAGAUAUGUAGCAGUUCUGAGGGACACUUCAUCACAGAGUGCACCAAGGCUGAAGACACUUAAGACCUCACAUUCAUUGAACCUUAACUUGGAUACCAAAAUAUACUUCUUCCACACUGUCUUCUGCUCUGACUACUUGCAAAUGUUUGAAUUGAAGAUCACCAGAUGCAAAGGAACAGGAUGCAUUUAGUGUCCUUUGAAAUCAGCCCUAGAACAAGGCUAAAUGUAAGUAAUGAUACAAUAAAAAUUAAUGGAAAAUGCA